rnacentral:rRNA from 1 species
CAGUAGCCACGGGAAUACGUAGGUGGCAGGCGUUGUCCGGAAUUAUUGGGCGUAAAGGGCUCGCAGGCGGUUUCUUAAGUCUGAUGUGAAAGCCCCCGGCUCAACCGGGGAGGGUCAUUGGAAACUGGGAAACUUGAGUGCAGAAGAGGAGAGUGGAAUUCCACGUGUAGCGGUGAAAUGCGUAGAGAUGUGGAGGAACACCAGUGGCGAAGGCGACUCUCUGGUCUGUAACUGACGCUGAGGAGCGAAAGCGUGGGGAGCGAACAGGAUUAGAUACCCCCGUAGUCCCUGUCUCUUAUAC